rnacentral:rRNA from 1 species
CUGUCUCCUUUUUCUUAUCAGUGAAACUAAUCUCCCCGUGAAGAAGCGGGGAUAAUUCUAUAAGACGAGAAGACCCCAUGGAGCUUUAAACCCAACUACACCCCUCUUAACUUUACUUUUAAAUCUUGAGGUCCCUGUAUGUUCUGGUUUUAGGUUGGGGUGACCGCGGAGCAUAAACUAGCCUCCACAAUGAAUAGACCUCCUCUUUAUCUAAGACUUACACCUCUAAGAAUUAGUAUUCUAACAUAAAAUGAUCCGAUAUUCGAUCAACGAACCAAGUUACCCUGGGGAUAACAGCGCAAUCUACUUUAAGAGCUCCUAUCGACAAGUGGG